UGGAAACAGAGAAGUGCCUCGCAAGAGGAAUUCGGAGACAGGUGCUGCAUGGCUGUCGUCAGCUCGUGUCGUGAGAUGUUGGGUUAAGUCCCGCAACGAGCGCAACCCUUGUCUUUAGUUGCCAUCAUUAAGUUGGGCACUCUAAAGAGACUGCCGGUGUCAAACCGGAGGAAGGUGGGGAUGACGUCAAGUCCUCAUGGCCUUUAUGACCAGGGCUACACACGUACUACAAUGGCAGGUACAAAGGGCAGCCACUUAGCGAUAAGGCGCGAAUCCCGUAAAACCUGUCUCAGUCCGGAUUGGAGUCUGCAACUCGACUCCAUGAAGUUGGAAUCGCUAGUAAUCGCAGAUCAGCACGCUGCGGUGAAUACGUUCCCGGGCCUU
rnacentral:rRNA from 1 species